rnacentral:lncRNA from 1 species
AGUCAUAUAAAAUCUAGAAGGACUUGCUGCAUAAAUAAUCCAUAAAGGCAAAAUGCGCGGAUCCCUCCCUCGGAUCGGGUCACCGCGCGGAUCUAUGCCUGCGAACGACGCCGUUUCGAAGCCAUGGCCUUAGCCUCAAACGACGACGUUCCCUUCACCAUUUAAAACGCAAAACCCUAAGCCAUCUGAUAUUUUCCCCUAAUCGAAAAGAAAACCAAAAGAAAAAAAAAUGAACAAAACUCUCUACGCCGCUUCCUGAAAAAUCGCACAAAGCGAGUCCUCCGAACCCUCGCUCCAGCCCCGACUACGACGUAGAGAACGAGGAUUCGACCGCAAGGUAUGUUUUUCUGAUUUCUCAACAUCUUUCUAUUAUUUUUCAUAUGGUAAAUAAAAAACAAGAACAGUAAGGAGAGAACAAAAUAUAAAUAUAAAAAACGGAGAAAAAAAGAAAAUACAUGCGAAUCACCUCUUUGAUUCUGAAUAUUUUUUGCUCUUUAUUUUCAAAAUCUUUGUGUGUGUGUUUUUUUCGUGUGUAACCCUUACAAAUGCUGAAAAAUGGCUUUAUAUAGCCGAAAAAAAUGAAAAUUACAAAAUGUAUUUUGCUCUUUUUUUCUUAUUUUUCCCUUUUUGCUGUCGAUUUCUUCUUCUUCUUUUUGUCCGUCUUUUGUUGCUUUGUGUGUUGCAGGUGUACGGAGGCCGUACGGUGAUGUGGCACGACGUGGGUAAAGAGGCUGUGCGGCGCGAUAGGCUAGCUAGGGUUUCUGUUUGUGGUUCUUUUUGUUUUGGGCUUCAAUGUAAUUGGGUCGAGGUAUUUGGGCCAUUGUUUGUAUAACUGGACAUUUGGACUUUAGUUAUAUAUAUUUUAUUUGGGUUUUAAUAUUUGUAUCGGGCCGGGCAAAUUUGGGCCAUUACAACUAUAAUUUCUGAAAAAAUGGAGGGACUUUAAAAAAAAAU